AGGCUCCGCGGCGCGUGCCUCAGUGGCGCCGGGACGACGGCAACGCUGAGGAAGAUGCGCGCGACCUCCUCCUCCGGGUCGCCGGCGGUGCUCCGCUCCCGUCUCCGGCGCCAAGGCAGACAGGCGGCCGGCCGGCCACUCGUCUACGGCGGGAGAUCCAGGACGUCUGGGGAAGAAAGAAAGUGUCUUUCCUUCCCUUUUCUACCCCCAUUCUUUUUUUUAUUUGAGAGGAUUUUCUGCCCCAAUUCUGAUUUGCUUUUAUUUUUUAUCUUUCCACUGUCUUUUUCGCGCGUGGGUCGCUGGAUAACGACCUCGGUAUGGCCGGCCCAUUCUUGUUUUUUCCACACCGUUUUAGGUUUGUUCUAGAUUCCGUUUUUCCUUUCUUUUCUCCUGAUUUAUCUUUCCACUGUCUUUUUCGUCUUUUAUUUUUACUUUUUACUUUCUUAUUUUCUAUCCUUUUUUUCAUUUUUUCUUUCCAAUUUCUGAGACGCAGACACUUUUCAAAAUCAUGAACCAUUUUUCUAAUUCGUGAUGAAUUUCCAAAUUCACAAACAUAAUUUCCAAGUUUGUGGAUGUUUUUUUAAUUCGCGAAGAAAUGAUAUCACAAACAUUUUUUAUUUCACCUAUAUAUUCAAAAUUCGUGAAUACAUUUUAAAUUCAAGGAAUUUCUAGAAAAAUGUGUGAACAUUUCCAGAAUUCAUGCACAUUUUUUUGAAUUUGAGAACAAUUUUUGAAGUUCGUGAACAAUUUUCUUGGAAGUCCUCAACAUUUUUCAAACUCACGAACAUUUACCAAAAUUAAUUAACAUUUUUUAAAUCUUGAAAAUUUUUAGUUCGCCAUUUGUUUUGAAUAUAUGAACAUUUUUUGGAUUUGCAAAUAUUUUUAAUCCGCGAACAUUUUCUCAAAAUUGUGAACAGUUUUUAAUUCCUGUAUAUUUUUCUCAAAUGCAUGAAGUUUUUUUUAAUAUACUAAAAUUUGUUUUCCUAAAUUUGCCAUAUUUUUCAAAAUUUGGAACUUUCUAAAAUGUUGAAUUACUUUAAAGAAGAAAAAAAAUAAGAAAAAACGAAAUAAAAAUCGGGGCGUCUCCCACAGCACAUGAGCAGGCCCAGAAGAGCGCGCUGGGGGAGCGGGGGUUGUGCGUUGUGUGUCAAAUAGGAGCUCUCCCUCUCUUGUGUGGUGCGUUGUGUGUGUGUGUGUGUGUGUGUGUGUGUGUGUGUGUGUGUGUGUGUGUGUGUGUGUGUGUGGCGGCUGCUAGCAAUCAUCUGGUUGAUAACUGCCAAAGAUAAGCCGCCUUGCGAGCUGUCGGAUUCACGCCAGUGGAAGCAAGUGCAUCCUCCUCCCAUGUUGACCAUUGCAGCCGGUGUGUUGUUCCAAUGCAUCACCGAAAACGUACUAGACCACGCGCCCAUGCACUCGUGAAUCACAGGUGGCUCCCCCCUCGUGCCCACGUUGUUUGUCAGAAACUACCGCUGCCGUCCGCCGCUACGCCCCAACAAUGUUGUUGUAAUAGAUUCGUGAUAGCCCCUCUGUAAACAGAUUUGCCAUAGAUUUUGGGACCGGCUCCUAAAAGCAACUGAAGCGGUUGUUCUUGACGAACCGCAACCGCGUGCGCGUAUAGGUAGUGGAGGCGGUUUCAAAACUUCCUGUGAUGUGUCGAGUAUUAGCGACAUGUGCUUUAAGGCGGAAUGAGAACCGCCAUCGGCCUGUGCACCAAAACCACCUCCAUAGCCAGAUGUUGUACUAGUGGGAGGUGGCUAGGUGGAGAUGACAACUUUCCUCGAGGUAGAAUGGAGAGCGGUGGCGAUGGUCACGGGUGCGGCAGAGGUUAAAUCAGGCUGCAACACGAUGCGAUUAUGGAGCCAGGGAUGUGGCGGUGUUGGGAGGCCACGUGAUGGCGGGUACUCGGCUUAACAACUGAUAGGGGCCGAGUACGUGAAAAAUGGCGCUGUCUUAAAAAACAUACUUGGCAUAUAGAACCAAAAGCUCUCGGCUUACAACAAGCUAGCCUCGGCUUACAAUAAAUAUUCUUCAAAAAAUAUAACAGAUGUCUGCUAAACUAAACUAAACGACGACUUUGAGAAUAUAUAUCGAGUAGUACCCUGAAUCCAGAGUUGAUUUUUUUAUCCAAAUCUGAAUAAGAAGGACAAGAUGAGAGAUGAUUACGUGAACUCCCUUCUAUUGUACUAGUAAGCGUGCACGUGUAACACACGUAUAAUCAUAGGAAAGAAUUUCCUCCUUUGUCACAAUUGGCAGACAACUAUUUCAAUAUAAAAGAAGUCUCACAAUCAUAUGUAUAUAUGUCACACAUCAACGGCUCAACUGGUUGAACUUCUCCAUAGAUAAGAUAGAGGCAUAGGCUAUUUAGUCUAGUGCAUAGUAAAAGAGUCAAAUAUCAUAGAAUGUCUAUAUUCUAUAAUGCAAACUUCAUAGUAAUUAUGGAACGUGUAAGAAUUGUCCAAAUGAACAUGGUCAAGAUGCAAACUUGGAACAAAAUUGUAAAGUGUCCCAGAGGUCUAACUCAUAAAGGCCAUAUAAUGUGGCAUGGGAUAAACACUGGCUUUUAAAGCAGUGAACAAAAGAAGUAAAAUCAUAAUAUGAUUCUUCAUAGUUAUUACAUGGACCACAAAUUUUCCCAAAAAUAUAAGGAAAAAAGGAUAAUAUAUUAUCUGAUUUAAGAACAAGCUCAUGUCAUACAUGCAUGAGAAUAACGGCAGAUUCACAAAUAAACUUCAACCUUGAUAAGUAGAACGAUGUCAUGUGAAGGCUUUGAAUACUACAUGAAUCAUCAGUUAUAAUUGUGCGGGGCCACGAAACAACUCACCAAUCUAACUGAUCACAAUGUCAUUCAAUUUUACACAUAGAAGCAUUGGACAUAGUGCUUUUAAAUGCAAUGCUUUCAUCUUGGUAGAGUUCCCGUUGAUUGAUAAUGACACAUAAAGUGUAUCACCUUGAUACAGGUGCGAUUGUGAUAACAAUAUAGCUUCUAUCAUGAAAGAAAAAUAUGAGAUACCAUACAAAUCAUUAUCUAACAAUAGCACACUUAAGAGAAGUUGGACCCUCUCAAGGUUUUCUUCAAUCUCUGCACCAAUACUUCUUACCGAAAAAGAAUCAGAUACACCUACUUACGUAUAUUAUGACAUAGCAAAAACAUGUUCUAAAAUGAUACCAUGAAUCCAGUGAAUCCACAAUGAAACUUUUAACUAAUAUUUCCAUGGUUUGGGAUUGUGCAAUGGAAUAAGGAUAGGUUAAUCUUAAGGCCCAUGAAAAUAUUCAAAAGUGAAUUAACCUACAAUAUAUAGUAAGACAAGAGUGAACUAAAAUUGAUAGCAGAAUUUAUUGCCAAUAAAAUUCGCUGCAGAUUAGUAGGCCAAAUUUCCUCCAAUGGUGGCAUGAUCUUGUGGAGGAGUAUCAACGUAAUUGCAGCGUACCUAAUGCUCAACCACUGAAUCUUCCUUCAACUAUUGCCAUGCCCACCUGCACCAUAAAACUCAAUCAACUGAAGAAAAGCUAUAAUUUCAACAAAUGUCACCUCCUUAUUUGUAAGUUUGUCCUCUUGUUUAGCAUACUAAACUUUCCUUUCUCUAAAAGAAAUUUUUCAUACACAAUAUGUACAUAAAAGGAAAUCCAAUAACUCCAAUUCAUAACAGGUAGAUAGUAAAAACUCUUAUGAUACGGAUCAUAAUACAAUUUGCGGGAAUAUAUGUAGUUUGUCCUUAAGUAGAUUAAAGGUCUUAGCUCAGAGAAAAUAAGAAGUACAAAAGAAAUUUGUGAACAUUUUUGAACACGCAGACACUUUUCCAAAUCACGAACCAUUUUUCUAGUUCGUGAAGAAUUUCCAAAUUCACAAACAUAAUUUCCAAGUUUGUGGAUAUAUUUUUCAAUUCGCGAAGAAAUGAUAUCACAAACAUUGUUUAUUUCACCUAUAUAUUCAAAAUUCGUGAACACAUUUUUAAUUCAAGGAAUUUAUAGAAAAAUUAGUGAACAUUUUUUGAACCCGUGAACAUUUCCAGAAUUCAUGCACAUUUUUUUGAAUUUGAGAACAAUUUUUGAAGUUCGUCAACAAUUUUCUUGGAAGUCCUGAACAUUUUUCAAACUCAUG
rnacentral:lncRNA from 1 species